rnacentral:lncRNA from 10 species
UGGAGAACAAACAUGCUCUGUGCCUCAUCCAUGCUGUCAAGAAUUUCUUUUUCUCACACUCUGCAUCCUUGAGCAGUCCCUUCAUGAAACCACAGCAGAUGUUUCUCAGUCCUUUCAUUUUCUUUUUUCAGAGGAAUUGUAAUCGGCUGCGCUUUAAUUAGGAUCUCCCCGAGGAUACUUCGGCUUUCUUCCACACCCGGGAGUUUGCAGAUUCCCUCUUAGUGCACCAGGCUGAUUAGAUUUCUUAAUUCCCUAAAAUAUGCUGUCUCGAAGCCUAAUACCCCUGUAGGGAUGAGGUCUGUUUCUCUGCCUCUCCUCCCAUUACAGUGCUAAAUCCAGGCAGUGGUCUCCCUUACGGCACUUGCUUCUUCCCUGGCUCCGGACCCCUUUUUUGGAUGGCCUGCAAACCUUCUGACAAAGAAGCAGCCUUGAAAAGACAAAAUGGAUCCAGCAGGGAAUUAGACAGAAAAUAUUUACAGACUCGGUGAACCAAGAGCUGGGUGUUCCGGGCUGUUGAAGAAAAUGGAGUAAUGGGAUAGAAGCUGCUUUCAACUUCCUGCUGGUAAAGAACAAGCCUGUGUCAACAAGAGACUGAAUAAGAAACCCUCAAGGAGGAGACGUGGGAGUUGCCUUCAUUCAUUGGAUAGAGUGCCGCAGGACAGGAUGCUCUGAGAGGCCAGCACCACACCCUCUUGACCAUGCUGUAGCCAUAAAUGUUCCAGAGGCAUCUGAGAAAACCACUGCAGAAUACACAGAGCACAGCUGCAUUUUGUCUGCUCCACCUACAACAGGGUUUGCUCUACCCUGCCAUAUCAGAGGCUCCUGAAAAGACCAACUCACAGCACCACAGGAUGUGAUUAAGCCUUGGAGAAGAUUAAUUACCCACUUUCUUAGGAGUCGGUCUCUCCUCCCCACUCACUCAAGUUCCUUUACCCCCCACUAAGCCUCUGAAAGAAUCUAACAUCAUAAACAAGGAUCUCAUUAGCAACUUGAAUUCGGGCUGCAGAUCUUUUGUGAAGAUUUGGUUACAGAUGCUGCUUUAACUUCUGAGGAUUAUUCUUCAGCAUCCAGAGAGACUCCAGUUGCUCCCCUGGGAAAUGUUCCCUCACUUGAAUAACUCAUCUGUUCACCCAUUGGCAUAACUGCUGCCAGUUCUAAGCACCUGCUGAGGAGUGGACCCAGAUUAGGCCUCUGGCAGGGCUACAAAGAAGGCAUUUCAGUGUUGGACUUCCCAUUCCAUUUGCAUCUUCAGGGGAAGUUAAUGUCCCACUCAAGUUUCUCUCAGUUAGGGUGACAGGGAGAUGCAGUUCUUCAAAUGCUGUCCUCAAGUAGAGAGGGAGACCACAGAGCUCCGACUGGCUUGCCAGCCCAUGGAGCCAUUUUUUCUUUGGUGGUGGAUGCUCUCGGUGUGGCCUCUAGAGCUCCUUUCAUGAUCCUUUUCUCUCUGCAUUCCCACUGCUCUCCCCUCGGGUGGGUCCACAUCACCUCUCGCCUGGACCUCAGUCUGUCUCUUCUCUGCUAACCAGGGUGUCUUCACUUCUCUGCAGCUUUCACACGGCAGCCAGAUUAAUGUUCCUCAGUGCAGCUUUGAUCACACCACUGUGCCCAAACAAAAUCUUUCAUGGCCCCCAGCUACCCAGUGAUCAAAGUCCAGGGUCCUCACUCCAGCAUUAAAGAGCCUCUGUAUUGUGGAUCCCAAAUCAUCACAUGCCCCACCUCCAUCACCCAUCUGUUCCACUCCCACCUACCUCAACCUCAGUUCUAGUCCUUCAAGCUGCAGGCAGCAGCUCAUUGAGAAGGUCAUGAAAUCAAUGAAGUAUGUGACGAAAGCAUUUUAAAAUGAAAUUUAUAGCAAAAGAACAAAUAUGUAUAUGGCUUUCUAUAUAGCAGGCUCCAUUCCAAAUACUUUGCAUAGACUCACAUACUUCUCACACUGUCCCUAGGGAAAUAAGCACUCUUGCUAUCCCUGUUUUACAGAUAAGGACACAGACCCAGGGAGGUUAAAUAAGUUGUCCAAAGUGAUUAAUUCUGGCUUGAACCCAGAGAGCCUUGUAUCAGAAGCCACACUCUGCUAUACUCCCCAUGAUGUACUAUAUGGAAUAAAACUAUAUUCUAGAUUUUGUAAAACCAUAUGGAACAGAAUAGAAAAUUUAGGGCAUUCUGUAUAUACAAUGGUAAAUGUUCCAUGAAGGUCUGUUGGAGAUAAAUAUAAAUGUAUACACACAAGACUACAGUAGAAAAUGUGUAUUGUGCUGAGUACACAAGGUCAAGUGUUUGUCUUACUGUGGCUUGUGGGCAAAAACAUGUGAAACCUGUUGUUCUGGCUAAAACCAAGGAACUGCCAAUGAUCUCUCAUGCUUCUUUGCCUCUACAUCUUCACCCACACUGAUCCCAGCACUGGAAACAUCUUUCCCCGUCGUUUCUCACCUGUAUCUCUGGUCCAAACAUGUCUUGUCCAUGGAGUCUUUCUUAAUUCUUCUCUUUAUUCUGUCUUCUAAAUUAUAAGCUUCUUGAGGGCUUAGGUACAUACAUUUCACAAUCAGUUCUUGCUUCCUGACAAAGAAGGAAGCAUCUUCCAGGAGGCUUUUACUCCCAACCUACUUUCAACCCCCAUUGGUGUGAUGAGAUUUCUGAUAUUCGUCUUCUUUCUGUGAUAGUUUGGGACAAUGGUUCUCAAAGUGUGGUCCCCAGACCAGCAACAUCAGCAUCGCCUGGGACUUGUUAGAGAUGCGUAUUCUCAGGCCCCAUCCCAGACCUACUGAAUCGGAUUAUCUGAGGGUGAACAACAGCAGCGUGUGCUACAACCAGCCUUCCAAGUGAUUCUGAUGCUUGUGCAAGUUCGAGAACCACUGGCUUAAGAAAAAGCCAUUCUUAUUCAAUAUGAGAGAAGGGUUUGUUUCAUGACUCUGGGCCAGUUGGCUGCAUUGUAUUGCUUAUGAGGACAAGGUCAGGGGAUCAACUUUGUGUAUCCAAGUCAGCAACAUGUCACACCACACAUUGAAUCCCCCAACCCUAGCUUUUGUGCAAUUGCAAGCUAUUUAGUCCCAAAAGAACUAUGGAUGUCUCAGUGCCAAAGCUAACUCACCUAAAUUACUACUGUCAUCGCAUUAAUGGAGCCAGACUCACAGCCACGAGCCAUCAAGCACCCUGCAGGGGACAGUAAAAGCAGAACCAGGAAUGGACAAAGACAUUGUUAGAAGUCAAGAGAACAUGGACUUUCUAAAUACCAAAGCAUUUUAGAAGGUAUGGCUAAAACAGAUUGCAAAUGAUGAAAGGCAGUAAAAAUCCAAGUGGGUUUAGGAUGGGAAAUUUCAAAUUUCAUAGGAAAUCCAAGGUCACAGAAAUAAUAAACCAGAAUGACCUAGGAGCUAGCACUUGAUAGAUUCAGGAGCAUUUCCAUGGACAGACAUUUUAUAUUUGAAGAAACUCGAAUCUAUAUUCCAAGAAGUUAAGAAACAAGAUCAUGCAAUGAGGAAAUAGCAGAAUAGAAUGCAAACCAACUUUUUUUACCCAGGAGUCUCAACUAAAGGUCUGCCUGCCCUGCCGAGGGCACUCCCCUCUCUGCGGUUUCUCUUCUACACUCCUGCCACACUGGCCCCAGUGCUGCCAUGUCCACUCCCAGGGCUCUGCACUUACUCUUCCUUCUCUUUUAAGUAUUUUUUCGCUAGCUGUUCCCAGAGCUGCACCCUCCUCAUCCUUUAGGCCUCAACCCAAAUGUUACUUACUCAGAGAGUUCUUCCCUGACCACCCAGCCCACACUUCUGUGACUGUACAAGUUUCCUGGGGCUGCUGAAACAAAUGACUGCAAAGUUGGUGACUUAAACCACCACAACAUAAGUUGGCUGGUUGUGGUGGCUCACGCCUGUAAUCCCAGCACUUUGGGAGGCCCAGGCGGGCGGAUCAUGAGGUCAGGAGAUUGAGACCAUCCUGGCCAACGUGAUGAAACCUCAUCUCAACUAAAAUACAAAAAAAUUAGCCGGGUAUGGUGGUGUGUGCCUAUAGUCCCAGCUGCUCAGGAGGCUGAGGCAGGAGAAUUGCUUGAACCCAGGAGGCAGAGAUUGAAGUGAGCCAAGAUCACACCACUGCAUUCCAGCCUGGACAACAGAACGAGACUCCAUCACAAAAACAAAACAAAACAAAACAAAACAAAAACAUAAGUUUUUUCACUUACAGUUCUGGAGGCCAAAAAUCCAAACUCAAGGUGUCGGCAGGGCCAUGUGUCUCUGAAGGCACUAGGAGAAAACCUGCCCCAUGCUCCUCUCCUAGUUUCUGGAGAGGAGCCACUCAUGACAUUUCUUGACUUGCGGCUGCAUGACUUCCAGUGGCACCGUCCUCUCUGUGUCUGUGUUAAAUAUCCUUCAUAAGAACACCAUUCAUCGGAUUAGGGCACACCUUAACACCAUAUGGCCUCAUCUUAACUUCAUUACAUCUGCAAAGACCUUAUUUCCAAGUAAAUCCACAUUCAUAUGCAUUGGGCAUUAGAACUUUGACACAUCCUUUUUGGGGGAGGUGGGGAACAACUCAACCCACACACAGCCACAGACAUUUCCUACAAUACCCUAUUCUAUCGUCUCCAUACUGCUUCUCAGUAUGUGACAUUAUCCUAUUUAUUUAUAAGUGUAUGUGCUCAUUGCCUGCCCAACCCUUCCCCAACUAGAAUAAAAGCUUCUUAUAGCCGUGCACCUCUCUGUCUUGUUCACAGAUGAAUCUCCAGCACGUAGAAGGGGGGCCUGGAACAAAGCACUGUUUUACAAAGAUUUACUAACUGCCUGAACUGUCUCUCCCACUGGGGUCUUUCAUUACAUGGUCCCACCUCACCAACCACAGGGAUGAAUACGUGACCUAAGCUGACUUAUCAGAACCAUUGUGAGGACAGACCCUG